rnacentral:rRNA from 1 species
UACGAAGGGGGCGAGCGUUGUUCGGAUUUACUGGGCGUAAAGGGCGCGUAGGCGGCGGGUCAAGUCGAGUGUGAAAGCCCCGGGCUCAACCUGGGAAUUGCGCUCGAGACUGGUCUGCUUGAGUUCGGGAGAGGAGCGUGGAAUUCCCAGUGUAGAGGUGGAAAUUCGUAGAUAUUGGGAAGAACACCGGUGGCGAAGGCGGCGCUCUGGACCGAGACUGACGCUGAGGCGCGAAAGCGUGGGGAGCAAACAGG